AGUGAUCUUACAUGAAUGCUUGACACUGUGCUCAUAAUCCAUUUAUGGUGUGAUCUUACUGUGAUCUUACAUGAAUGUUUGACACUGUGCUCAUAAUCCAUUUCCGGUGUGAUCUUACUGGUGGUCCUUGGCAGAAGCACAGUAAAAGAGGGAUAGCCAAUUACAGCCCUGCAUUCACACAAGCAAUGGCAAGUUUCAGUUCCCUAUCAGGUCAGCCUAGCUGCUCAUU